GUUGACAUCAUUAAACUAUUGUUUGCUUCUGAGCUCAACGGCUAGAAAAUACUAUCCUUCUAGACAGCGUCUCACCCUACCUGUUCAACCUGGGUCAAAAGAGAGGCCAACUGUUCUUCACUACAAGAAGAGUCUCAAUGAAUAUACUAAUGGGAGCACAAGUGAGUUAACCGUACAGAGGCUUCAGUUGUUGCAGUAUAUUUGAAGUGAAAGUUCAUCAAAUCUUAACUCAUAAUUCUAUUGAGUAAUACCACAACAUUUCCACGGAGCUGGUCGUCCUGCUUGACCACCACGUUCGUUGGCACACGUCUUCUACAUGGUAGCGACCACCAAAAACUCAGUUCCUGUCCGCUACAGUUUUACAAGAAGAUUCGAAUGCACUGAUUUCUGGAAAUAGUAUCGACGGAAUGUAUAUAAAGAAGAAAACAGCAUUUGAUCUUUGCAUAUGUAACAGUUAGCGAUAAAAAUCAUGCUGUUAUAACAUAUUUUAGUAGUUUAUUAGUUAUGAACAACA